UAAAUAAAACUGGAGACUCUAUAUGAAAUGUUUCUAUGUUGCUAAAAACAGAAGAAAAGAAACAAGGCAAGAUAUCGUUUCACUCGCCCUUUUUUUGAUUGGCGAUUUGAUUGUUGCUUGUCUACAU